CGCCUUUUGAUUUACAAAAAUAAAAGGUCCCGCCUGCCCCGUGACUAAAUGUUUAACGGCCGCGGUAUUUUGACCGUGCAAAGGUAGCGCAAUCACUUGUCUUUUAAAUGAAGACCUGUAUGAAUGGCAUAACGAGGGCUUAACUGUCUCCUUCCCCAAGUCAAUGAAAUUGAUUUUUCCGUGCAGAAGCGGGAAUGAUAACAUAAGACGAGAAGACCCUAUGGAGCUUUAGACACAUGAGGAUUUUAUAUAUAAAAGAAAGUUAGUAACCACUCCCCUGAUUGUCUUCGGUUGGGGCGACCACGGGAUAAAGAAAAACUCCCGAGAGGAUUGGGGUAAACCCUAAAACCCAGAAAUACAUUUCUAAGUAGCAGAAUUUGACCUAUAGAUCCGGCAAGCCGAUCAACGGACCAAGUUACCCUAGGGAUAACAGCGCAAUCCUCUUAGAGAGCCCCUAUCGACAAGAGGGUUUACGACCUCGAUGUUGGAUCAGGACAUCCUAAUUGUGCAGCCGCUAUUAAGGGUUCGUUUGUUCAACGAUUAAAGUCCU
rnacentral:rRNA from 1 species